GACGAACGCUGGCGGCGUGCUUAACACAUGCAAGUCGAACGGAAAGGCCCUGCUUUUGUGGGGUGCUCGAGUGGCGAACGGGUGAGUAACACGUGAGUAACCUGCCCUUGACUUUGGGAUAACUUCAGGAAACUGGGGCUAAUACCGGAUAGGAGCUCCUGCUGCAUGGUGGGGGUUGGAAAGUUUCGGCGGUUGGGGAUGGACUCGCGGCUUAUCAGCUUGUUGGUGGGGUAGUGGCUUACCAAGGCUUUGACGGGUAGCCGGCCUGAGAGGGUGACCGGCCACAUUGGGACUGAGAUACGGCCCAGACUCCUACGGGAGGCAGCAGUGGGGAAUAGUGCACAAUGGGCGGAAGCCUGAUGCAGCAACGCCGCGUGCGGGAUGACGGCCUUCGGGUUGUAACCCGCUUUCGCCUGUGACGAAGCGUGAGUGACGGUAAUGGGUAAAGAAGCACCGGCUAACUACGUG
rnacentral:rRNA from 1 species